GUCGUAUUUUGUUUCGGAUAACUUUUGGAAAAUCGAAAGAUUAAACUAUCGAUCAUCCGUCGAACCGUAUCGUAGAAAUCUCCUCCUUCGUUAUCUUUGUUUACACGAAUCGCCGCGUUAUUACCCGCACAUCGGUGCGACCACGCUUUGCCUCCACAGACUACGUCGCCUCACCACCGCCGACUGUCGACGGAAAAUCGACGCCCACCAGUCGGCCACAGAAAACGAGAUGAGAGAGACGGGACUCCUCCAAUCUCUUUUACCGUCUCCGUCGCACUUUCGAAAGACUCGGGGAUCUCGGCUCACUUCAGACCCGUACCACCGCCCUCCUCUUUCUAGCUUCACACCACCGAAUGGAACUUCACAUAUAUAGUAGUAGAUAUAUAUAUCACAGGUGUGCGUGCACAUAUCACACGAAUAUACUACAUCCACAUACUUUUUAUGUACAACGGCGAUGUGUCCACGUGUAAUAUUGUAUGUACAGAUUUUGGGUGGGUAUGGGAGAGACCUACACAGAAAAAGACGGCGGUUGCUCGCGGUACAUCGUAGAUCGCGUGCUACCCGCGCGAGUCCACGUGCGUUUGUGUGGGUUUCACGUGGAUUAAAUUUGAGCGAUAGACGUCGCGUCCACAUCUACGGCAACCUCCGCACAACUUCGCGAAUUAGGCCCAGUGAGAAAAACGGCGUUUUCCGGCCUUGUACCGACACGACGCGAUGCCCGCAAACGUAGUGUGUUGGUAAGCGAACGCUUCGUCACGUGAUAAGUAGCGGCUGAUAUGAAUUUCGCACGUAAACGCGGUUGUGCAGCCGCAUGCGAUAUGUGAGUCAAGGUUUCUAGGGGUUGUAAAAAUACGCUCGGAAGGAAUAAUUCAUAUUUCACACGCACAUCGAAGCGAAGCGACGAUGAAGACGCGCUAAAAAAUCAUAGCGAUUUAACUCGUUCCGACCACCCGUCAUCCGCCGGCUGAUUAACGAUAGGAAAAAGAGAAAAAAGGACAAAAAAAAAAUAAAAAUUAAAAAUUAAAAAUUAAAAACGAGGUAACACCUAUACGAUUAAUGAUCCUCUGACCCGACCCUGCACGAAUCAAGGCUCUCUGCGUAGAAGUCGACUCGGAUUUGCUAAUUUAUUUAUAAUGUCCAUAAACGGCGUACGAUUGUCAGGUUUUUCAACAACGAAUCUCUUCCGGUGGACCAUGAACUUUUGAACGAAUUUCGGUAAACAAUUGAGAGAAAAGGAACGAGAUGAAACGGACCCCCUUUCGGCAUCUCGUGGGCACGUGAACGUUUCAUUCGAAACAUUCGUAUACCGGUUCGGAGUGUUUUGUCUACGCUCUUUAAUACAGUGGUGUAAUUAGAGUUGUAUAAGAAUAAACUAACGCGAAUGAGAGUAACGUUAUGGUCGUUAUCAUUUUCAUUAUUAUUAUUAUUAUUAUUAGUAUUAUUAUUAUAGUGCGGUCGACGUUUGUAAACUUGCCCCAAGGAAUGUGCGAUCGAAGAAUUUUCCAUCUAACUUUUCCAUCUGUUUAAUUUUCUCAUUUUUAUUUUCUAUUGGUUUCAGAUAACGAGCGCACCUAAUAGUCGAGGAUUUCGAUAACAAUGAAAGGCGAAUCACGGCAUUCGAAAUUUCUCAAUUAUACUGAACAUGACGCGAUGAUAAAUUUGGAUGAAUUUUUGAUUUCGGUUAUGAGAGAUGCAGAUAUUAUUCGAGCAGUUAUCAGAGGCACGAAUCGGAGAGACUCUUCGAUAUCCAUUAUUUUUUCUUCUUUUUGAUUCUACAAGGUAACAAAUACCAAUGAAGCUUAGCGCGCUCGAAUAUCAGAGAGAAUGAUCGUUUCUCUUCUCGAAACUCGGAUCAUUCAUCUCCGCAGAUACAAUCGUAAGUUAAAACUACGAAUAGUAUAUAAUAUAUAUCAGAGCCAAGAGGGAUAUACGAAUUCAGCGAAACUUAAUAUCGCGGUUAUUACGUAAUUCGUGUACGCUGUAAUUAAGCCUCUGCAUUUGCCCGGAAAGAACAACGACAGAUCGUCCAAUCUCCGAUGUGUACAUAUGUACGAAUAAACCUCUCGUAGUUAUAUUAUAUUAUAUCCGCUUCGCGUACAGAUUACGAAACAACAAAAUGUGAAACAACGACGGUGUCCGUCCAGUCGUGUCUGUGGUUCUCACAGCGCGCGACUCGAACGAGACACACAUAAUUCCCGGUACGAAACCAUUCGUACACUUACGUACGUAUACGUAUUUCAAUUCGACCAUAAGUCUAUUUAUUUAUAUUCAUUCUUCAUAUGUGAUCUAGGCGGGCCGCCCACCUCAAGGAGUGUGACGUCAUAUCAAAAAUCGAAUCGAGACCACGGGGCCGCGAUUGGUUUUCUGGGUUUCCGAUUCGAGGAUUUUCGUGAUGAGCGGUAGAA